UACGUAGGGUGCAAGCGUUAAUCGGAAUUACUGGGCGUAAAGCGUGUGUAGGCGGUUCGGAAAGAAAGAUGUGAAAUCCCAGGGCUCAACCUUGGAACUGCAUUUUUAACUGCCGAGCUAGAGUAUAUCAGAGGGGGGUAGAAUUCCACGUGUAGCAGUGAAAUGCGUAGAUAUGUGGAGGAAUACCGAUGGCGAAGGCAGCCCCCUGGGAUAAUACUGACGCUCAGACACGAAAGCGUGGGGAGCAAACAGGAUUAGAUACC
rnacentral:rRNA from 1 species